CCCUUAGAUGUUCUGGGCGGCCCGCGCACUACAUUGGCACUGGCAACAAGAUCCUAGAUCUGAUAUUUCGGGGUAUUCUACCAACUGGUGUCGUGACUGGGAUUAACCCCUGCAAUUAUUGGUUAUGAACGAGGAAUUCCUUGUAAUCACGGUUUAUCAACCCGUGUUGAAUGCGUCCCUGCCCUUUGUACACACCGCCCGUCGCUCCUACCGAUGAAUCGUCCGGUGAAGUUCAUGGAGUCGCUGCUGCUCCAGCUGUUUUCGAAGUGAAAUGGACCUCAUGAUUUAGAGGAAGGAGAANUCGUANCA
rnacentral:rRNA from 1 species